rfam:Medicago truncatula strain A17 chromosome 4, whole genome shotgun sequence.
AUCCCAUGAUGAUUGCACCUUCUCAAUAAUUCUUUAAACCUUUCUCAAGCUUCAAAAAGAGUUUCUUCGUUUGUUUGUUUAAAAAAUGUUAUGUCGUUCCUCUUUUU